UAAUAGCUCACUGGUCGAGUCGGCCUGCGCGGAAGAUGUAACGGGGCUAAACCAUGCACCGAAGCUGCGGCAGCGACGCUUAUGCGUUGUUGGGUAGGGGAGCGUUCUGUAAGCCUGUGAAGGUGGCCUGUGAGGGUUGCUGGAGGUAUCAGAAGUGCGAAUGCUGACAUAAGUAACGAUAAAGCGGGUGAAAAGCCCGCUCGCCGGAAGACCAAGGGUUCCUGUCCAACGUUAAUCGGGGCAGGGUGAGUCGACCCCUAAGGCGAGGCCGAAAGGCGUAGUCGAUGGGAAACAGGUUAAUAUUCCUGUACUUGGUGUUACUGCGAAGGGGGGACGGAGAAGGCUAUGUUGGCCGGGCGACGGUUGUCCCGGUUUAAGCGUGUAGGCUGGUUUUCCAGGCAAAUCCGGAAAACCAAGGCUGAGGCGUGAUGACGAGGCACUACGGUGCUGAAGCAACAAAUGCCCUGCUUCCAGGAAAAGCCUCUAAGCAUCAGGUAACAUCAAAUCGUACCCCAAACCGACACAGGUGGUCAGGUAGAGAAUACCAAGGCGCUUGAGAGAACUCGGGUGAAGGAACUAGGCAAAAUGGUGCCGUAACUUCGGGAGAAGGCACGCUGAUAUGUAGGUGAAGCGACUUGCUCGUGGAGCUGAAAUCAGUCGAAGAUACCAGCUGGCUGCAACUGUUUAUUAAAAACACAGCACUGUGCAAACACG
rnacentral:rRNA from 1 species